rnacentral:rRNA from 1 species
UACGUAGGUGGCAAGCGUUAUCCGGAAUUAUUGGGCGUAAAGCGCGCGUAGGCGGUUUUUUAAGUCUGAUGUGAAAGCCCACGGCUCAACCGUGGAGGGUCAUUGGAAACUGGAAAACUUGAGUGCAGAAGAGGAAAGUGGAAUUCCAUGUGUAGCGGUGAAAUGCGCAGAGAUAUGGAGGAACACCAGUGGCGCAGGCGACUUUCUGGUCUGUAACUGACGCUGAUGUGCGAAAGCGUGGGGAUCAAACAGGAUUAG